AAACUUUCAACAACGGAUCUCUUGGUUCCCGCAUCGAUGAAGAACGCAGCGAAACGCGAUAGUUAAUGUGAAUUGCAGAAUUCAGUGAAUCAUCGAGUCUUUGAACGCACAUUGCGCCCAUUGGUAUUCCUUUGGGCAUGUCUGUUUGAGCGUCAUUA
rnacentral:rRNA from 3 species